rnacentral:lncRNA from 1 species
GUAAGAAAAUGAACAGAACUGAAUCAAAGGACCACUCCUCCCACUAGACCAUUCUCCACACAGCAGCCAGAGCCAUCUGUUAAAAGAGUUCCACCCACUUCAGAGGCUGCAUCAGCAACAUGGCAAGUGCUCUAAGCUCCGCAGCUCAACUCCAUCCAUCAAAGGCCUAUCCACAUGCCCCAGCUCUGCGGAACAAUUUGGAAUUAUUUUGGUUUUACGAGAAAACUAACCAUGUAGAGUGUUUGAGGUGAGAUGAAAGAAGAAAGAAAAAUGGUUGCAGACUCAGUGCUGAAAUCUAAUCAGGAGAGCAUCUAUAAAGAAGCUCUUAUUGACCACAAUCAUCCAGCUGAAGUUGCCGGAACAAACAGACAUGUGGAAUGUAGGGGUGAUUUACAAGCUCUCUCCCUGAUCACAGGCUGCCUCCUUCCUGCAGAGCACGCAAAGCAUAGAAUAGCAGAGAAAGAGGUCACGACUGAAGGCAACUAUGGGAAAAGAAGGAACAUUUGCUAUGGCUUUCUGCCAUCUCCUCUCAUCCAGUCACAGCUCUGUGAAACAGGCACUAAGAGUCUCCAUUUUACAGCUGAGAAGGUUGAAGGCCAAAUAAUAACCAGAGGAAUACGAUUGGAGCCCAGAUCUGUCACCCCCGUUUUGUAA